GCGGGCGUGAUGGAACGGUAGACAUACGGGACUUAAAAUCCCGGGGCCGUAGGCCGUGUGGGUUCAAGUCCCACCGCCCGCACCA
rnacentral:tRNA from 1 species